AUAGCCGGACGGGUGGUCGCGGGGCCAUUAGGCCUUGAGGAAAGUCCGGACUCCACAGGGCAGGGUGCUGGAUAACGUCCAGGCGGGGCGACCCGACGGAAAGCGCCACAGAAAAGGAAAUACCAGCCACCCGGGCCUGGAAACGGGUCUCGUGGUGAGCGGGUCAAGCUGAAACGGUGGUGUAAGAGACCACCAGCGGUCCGGUAACGGGCCGGCUUGGCAAGCCCCACCCGGAGCGAUGCCAAAUAGGGGAGGACGCGGUGGCCCGCCGCGCUAUAACUCCCGGGUAGGCAGCACGAGGCCCGCGGUAACGCGGGUCCCAGAUAGAUGGCCACCACCACCCUUUCGGGGGUGGUACAGAAUCCGGCUUACAGGCCGGCUAUCCCC
rnacentral:RNase_P_RNA from 2 species